rnacentral:tRNA from 1 species
GAGCGCAUGGCAUAGUCUGGAAUUGCGCGGGCCUGCGGAGCCCGAGGUCGAGGGUUCAAAUCCCUCUGCGCUCG